rnacentral:tRNA from 1 species
GGUUGUAUGGUGUAGUGGUUAGCACUCCAGAUUCUGAUUGCGAGACUUCUGGCGACUUGGGUUCAAUUCCCAAUACGACCU